ensembl:snRNA U2 U2 spliceosomal RNA
GUCACUUCUUAGUCUUUUGAGUAAGAUGAAGUAUAGUAUCUGUUAUGAUUAGUUUAAUAUCUGAUAUAUCCUCUAUCCAAGGACAAUGUAUUGGGUGAAUAUUUGGAGCAGGGAGAUGGACUAGAAGUUCGCUCUAUGUGGUCCACACAUUGGCUUGGCACUGUAAUACUUCCAAGAUCAGUGCAUCCCCU